rnacentral:rRNA from 1 species
UACGAAGGGGACUAGCGUUGUUCGGAAUUACUGGGCAUAAAGCGCACGUAGGCGGAUUUGUAAGUCAGGGGUGAAAUCCCGGGGCUCAACCUCGGAACUGCCUUUGAUACUGCAAAUCUCGAGUCCGAUAGAGGUGGGUGGAAUUCCUAGUGUAGAGGUGAAAUUCGUAGAUAUUAGGAAGAACACCGGUGGCGAAGGCGGCCCACUGGAUCGGUACUGACGCUGAGGUGCGAAAGCGUGGGGAGCAAACAGG